rnacentral:tRNA from 1 species
UAGCCUAGUGGUUAAGGCUAUGGAUUUCCAAUCUGGAGAUGGCAGGUUCGAUUCCCGC